rnacentral:tRNA from 1 species
GGCCAAAUGGUCUAGUGGUAUGAUUCUUGCUUUGGGACGGUUAACCAACUCAACUGCAAGAGGUCCCGUGUUCAAUCCACGGUUUGGCCC